CGCGCCGGAGAUUUAGAGCGGGCGCGUGCUGGACACCUGCAGCGGGCACGCGCAGGAACGAAGCGACCGGAGAGUGGAGAGUGGGCAGGGGAGAGACUGAUGUCUGCCGUCCAGAGACUACAUUAGUGAGUUACUAUUGUGUGCGUGCGUCCUUCAGACCUGGUUCCCAAGAAAGUCAAUGGUUCCUUACAUCCCAGUUUGACAAGUCAGGAGGAUACACGCUAAUCCCCUUAAUCUGGCCUUUCUCCCGCACGCAGCCACAGGGAGAGGGGGACCACAGAGAGUAAUCCUGUCGGAGAAACAAUAGGAUUAAGGGCCCAACCCUGUGAGUGACAAUCAGUGAAGCCUCUGCUGCUGUGAUCAAUAUCUGAACUUCACCUUAUGAACACCAGAUGGCCCCAUUGGCACAAAUAUGUGUUGAGCAGGACUCAGCAGGUCUGUUCUCAGCAGGCCGGAGCCAGCCCCAGGCCUCAGAGCUAAAGGAAACAAGCCUCACAUCCAGUGAAAAGAGAAGCUGCCCACUCCAUUCAGCUCCAGUGAACGUGGCCAAAGAAAACAGCGCUUGAUUCUUUACAUCUCCUCACGUUACCAUGAUGGUCUUGUUAAGUGCUGGGGGUAAAUUACAGGUUAGCCAUUGUGUGAAAGGGAAUGAGUCACAGGAUGGUGGAUUUCCAUGUGUGACAGGUGCCUGCAGUGGUUACUCUGUGUUUGUUCAGACUACAACUCUGAGCUGACACUGGAAAUUCCCACUGCGGGCUCACCUUCAGAGGUGAGGGUCAACCAAGUGCUGGCUAAAGGGGUUCCUUACACUCACCCUCCUGAAUGUUUUCAACUUUUUUUGUAGGGCAGAAGAAGAUGGAGAAUAUCUUCUACUCAUUACUCAUUCAGAGUGAGAUGAGAAGAUGAUUACUUAGUUUAGCAUACAGACUGGAAGCAUUGGGAAACAGCUUGCCUGUGUCCACAGUUCAAUAUACAGUACACCUACCAACACCUCACCGCUCACUGAUGAACAUGUAAAACAUACAAAUGAUCAUUUGUAGUUUAAGGGAAAUUCAGCUUUGUUAUAGCUGCAGUGAGGUUGCCAUAUUUGGUUCCACUGGCUGUACAGAGACCAAAACCAGACUUUGCUCACUCACCAUUUCUUACAACCUGUACUGCAGCCAGUGACGAACUGCUGUUCAUCAAGAAACUGUUAGUAAGUUGCAAGUACACCAAAAACCACAAACUGUGAUUUUUAAAAAAAGAUUACAUUUCUAUCUGUUUGUGUACAGAUUAAAUGAGGGAAACAUCAGUGAGCUUUAGCGGUGUUGGUAGCGUGCAAACGACGUCUGCAGGUCUUUGUCCAAAACACAGUUGUUAAUACACAAUGUUAGCCAAUCUAUACCGGUUACCUAUAGACUGCAGAAUUGAUUUUGGGCCCACGUUAUAUUUCUGAAUUACAGUGUCCACUGACCAUGGUGAAAUCAUUGAGGUCUACUGACCAAGGCCUUCUGGCUGUUCCGAGAUCUCGGCUUAAACCAAAGGGGACCAUGCUUUUGCAGUUGUGGACCCAUCUUCCCCUGGUUACAAGGAACGCUGAGUCAGUCGACAGUUUUAAGAAGCUGUUAUACUCAGCUGUAUUAUAUGCACUUAAUCCUCUAAUGUGAUUGUCCUCUGUGUAGCUUUUAUUGUUUUUAGAUUAUAACCUGUUUCUUUCUUUUUUCUUCAGUGUUUUCACUAUACAGCACCUUGUACCUCUGAUUUCCAUAUUAAGGUUUUGAAGUUUUAUUAAGGUUUUCUAACAGUUUUGAAGACAUAGAUCAGAUGAUGUGAUCCUGCUGAUAGAGACACCAGAUCAAACACUUUUCUGUGUUGCUCUAGAGGACAAACCAGAUAUUUUCUCGUCCAAUUUGGAAGAUCUGUUAUAACCUGAUGUUAUCAUCUGCUGUAGCCUAGAUUAUUAUAAUAUCAUAUUAUUGUUGCAAAUAGUAUUCCAUUUGGGUUCAGUUGUUGUGAAGUGGCCCAUCAAACUAUUAAAAACAAGAACCAACAAAAAAUAUGAGUAGUCUUGUAAUGUUGUUAGUUUAAUGUUACCUGCCCAGGGACUACGGAUGUAAAUAGGCAUUUUUGCUACAAUCUGGCAUGUUUGUAUUAUGUACUUUGUGCUGAUGUUCAUUCACUUGCUUUGUCCCUAUCAAUAAAUAAAUAAAUACA